rnacentral:rRNA from 1 species
ACACGACUACAUUAGAUACCCGGGUAGUCCAGGGUGUAAACGCUGCGGGCUUGGUGUUGGGGGUCCUUUGAGGGCGCCCAGUGCCGGAGAGAAGUUGUUAAGCCUGCUGCUUGGGGAGUACGUCCGCAAGGAUGAAACUUAAAGGAAUUGGCGGGGGAGCACCGCAACGGGAGGAGCGUGCGGUUCAAUUGGAUUCAACGCCGGACAACUCACCAGGAGCGACGGUUACAUGAAGGCCAGGCUGAUGACCUUGCCUGAUUUUCCG